rnacentral:misc_RNA from 1 species
AAGAACACACAAAUUACCGAUAAAUCAGAGACACGCAUAACUUGGUCGAUGUGCGGGCGGCAAUUGAGCAGAUUGAUUGACGGCAGAAGCGGUGUGAUACGGCGGGAGUUGGUGGCGCGUGGUUGAACGGGGAAAGUGCAUAUACAGUUACACAAAUGGGUAAUGGGCGUCGCAUCAAACGCAUGAUAAAAUGCUUAUUAUGCGCGUGCGCUGGACAAACAGGAGG